rnacentral:rRNA from 1 species
AUGUGUAAGUUGUCUCUUCUUCCUCUAUCUUCUCUUCUCUCCUCUGGCUCUUUCUUCUUCCUCUUCCCUGCCCGACUACUCCUACCCACCGACGGCCACCUCCACCAUUUGUCGUGCGCCAAGACAAGGUCGACGACGGAAAUGAAGGCCGCGUGGAGGAGCAGCCGCAGAGCAGGAGCACGGCCGCUGCCACCCGUGUGCCAUGGCGAGGAGCGCACCUUCAACGCCCAGGAGCAAGGGUCGCUGCCAGCCGCGCCAAGGAAACCAGGCCGCCACCAGCCACACCAAGGAGCACGGGCCGCCACCAGCCACGCCAUGGCCAAGGGCUCGGGCCGCCUCGCAUAG